AAAGACUCCUAAUGCCGAAAUCAUCAGAUUCAAGGGCAUUUUGAGGAAUUCCCAAUGAAGGACCCACCUUCGUAGGAAAGCACCUCUGUCUGAGAAGUUGCCCACAGCAUUCCUGCAACUGUUGUCACCAUAAAAACAUGGACAAGAAGCAGCUCUACCCACCUCUGUACUGUGGGAUGGAAGGUAUUUGAUGAAGCUGUUAGGACACAGUUGCUUAGAAACACAGAAUCAAAAUGGCUGAGCGAGACUAACGUUCUUCUUCAUUAUGCAUAAUGUGUGCAAUGGAUGCCUCAGCCCUUAUCCAUGGCACAGCCAAUCUUAACAUGGGAUCAGCUUGAGGUGGACACCUAAGGAAUGAGGUAGUUGGGUUAUACG